rnacentral:rRNA from 1 species
CCUACGGGAGGCAGCAGUCGGGAAUAUUGCGCACUGGAGGAAACUCUGACGCAGUGACGCCGCGUGCAGGAAGAAUGUUUUCUGAUUGUAAACUGCCUUAGACAGGGAAGAAAAAAGACAGUACCUGUAGAAUAAGCAUCGGCUAACUACGUGACAGCAGCCGAGGUAAGACGUAGGGAGCAAGCGUUAUCCGGAUUUAUUGGGUGUAAAGGGUGCGUAGGCGGGUAAGCAAGUUAGUUGUGAAAUCACUCGGCUUAACUGAGGAACUGCAACUCAAACUACUUCCCUGGAGUACUGGAGAGGAAAGUGGAAUUCCUGGUGUAGCGGUGAAAUGCGUAGAUAUUAGGAAGAACAU